CUGGGUCGGUAGAGGAUAGUACAAAACAGAAUUUCUCUCGCUCAAAUAGGCGACACAAAAGACCUCCUCCGAAUUCCUUCUAUAAAGCCACCAAAGCUCGUUACGUUCGGUCUAAUUUUUCUCACCAAAACCCUAGAAAUCACAAUAACCAUAAGGGGAGGUGAGAAAAAGACACAGCUAGUAGCAGAGCUAAUCACCAUUUUUCUCUUACCUAGCUCGCUUGCUGUCUCUCUCGGAUCCAAAUCUGACCUCAGGUACUCUCUUCUCUUGUCUUCUCAUAUCUGCAUAUGCCCCUGUCGAAUCAUCUCUUAGCUUAACUUUCUUUAGUUAUGGCUUUUGGAGUGAAUGGAGAUGUUUCUCCUACAACUCGCUGAAUUUUGAAGUGUAAACUGAGACCUUAUGGCUAAACUCUUUUUCUUCACGAGUCUACAAAUCGAAAACAGUGCAGCCAUUGACAUGUUUGCUUAGCGGGGAUGGAUUUUCUCGGGUAUCUUUGUUUUCAAAUGUUGUGCGAUGUUUCCUCGAUUAGCUUUGGCGAUUCUACACUUGCUUUUUUUUUCCCUAAAUUUUUAAAUUUCAUUUUGUAUUUUUAAAUAAUGUGUUAUCAGAUGAUAGUUAAUAGGUUUAAUUGGGUUUUUGGUUGAUUUUCAGAGAUUUCAUCGGUGAUGGCAACGUCGGUCCAGCAAGCCUCAGUUCCUCCUGAUGUUGUUGCUAAUGCGUUUGUUCAUCAAUACUACCUCAUCUUGCAUCAGUCGCCCGAGCUUGUUCACCGAUUCUACCAGGAUGUUAGUAGGCUUGGUCGUCCAGGGGAGGGUGGGAUCAUGAGUACCACAACCACCAUGCAUGUGAGUUUCAUACUGUACACACCCAAUUUUGUUUAAGGUGGUGUUUGUGAAUAUGUUUUCUUGUUUCCUAUUGAAAAUUGCUCUGCUCCCUAGAAAAACGGAAAAAUGUAAUGUUCAAGGUCUUGGGGAUUGCCUUGGGGAAACAGAACGUUUGUCUGCUAUUUGGGUUUGGAAUUUACCAAAAAGAAAAAUGCCGAGAUCAUUUUUUUUUCUGGCAUUUGUUAUUAUGUCUGAAGAAUCUAACUUCAGCCAGGUAUGGAUUUGUUUUCUUUCUCUGGAAUAUUAAAAUUUUUUGCCCAAUUAUUUUUUACAGCAAGUAUGCUAACAUUAGAGGAAUAUAAUAGGAAUUCCUUAGGAUUGGGGUUUUCUCUAAUGCCUUUUUUUAUUAUAUGUUCAUUAUAUUAGGAGUAUUAAGGUGUAUGCCAAUUGCCUGCUGGAAGUAGAGGUUACUGAACAUGAAUUACUGUUAAAUUUUUUGUGCUGCUGCAUGUGUGACUGCUUUUUAUGAUGCAGGCUAUAAAUGAGAAGAUACUCUCGCUUGGUUAUGGAGAAUUCAGAGCAGAAAUAACCACAGUUGAUUCACAAGAAUCAUAUGACGGAGGAGUCCUUGUCCUUGUGACUGGAUAUUUGACUGGAAAUGAUAAUGUUCGACAGAAAUUUACUCAGAGUUUCUUCUUGGCACCACAAGACAAAGGCUAUUUUGUUUUGAAUGAUGUCUUCCGAUACGUUGAUGAUGCCAAGCUUCAAAAUGGAAAUCUUGAUGUUGUCAAUAGUAUUGAAGGUCCAGCCACUCCUAACCAGGACCUUCCUUCUGUGCAAGAAAAUCACAUUUCUGAGCAAGUGACUGCUUUCUCUGAGGAAGCCAAUGGGGAGGAAAUGUGCAAUCCCUCUGAGAAUGGGGAUGGGGCAAUUGAAGAACAGGAAGCACCAGUGCCUGAGGUUGUUGAUGAAAUUCCCAAUGACUCGCAGAUGGUGGUUGAUUCACAGAUAGUGGCUGAAUCUAAUGCUAAGAUUGUAGAAGUGCCAAAGAAGUCAUAUGCAUCAAUUUUGAAAGUUAUGAGGGAGAACGCUGCACCUUUUUCUAGUCCUGCCCCUUUUUCAAGCCCUGCUCCUUAUCCUCUGAGGUCUGCACCAAAAAGCCAAGAACAAGUCACUGCUGCAGUAACUCCUGCACUGGCAACUGAGGCACACAUCUCCAAUUCAAAUGCUACUGAAAAUGGGAAUGCCCAAGAGAAUGAAGCUGGAGGUCCUUCCAUCUAUGUGAAAGGCCUGCCUUUAGAUGCAACACCUGCCCUACUUGAGGACGAAUUUAAGAAGUUUGGACCUAUUAGGCCUGGUGGUAUUCAAGUUAGAUGUCAAAAGGGAUUUUGCUUUGGUUUUGUCGAAUUUGAAGUGGCAAGUGCUGUGCAGAGUGCAUUACAGGCUUCUCCUAUCAUGAUUAGUGGAUGCCGGGUUGUUGUGGAGGAAAAGAGAUCUACUUCUCGAGGCAAGUUGGUUUUUAUGGUCAAUUUUAUUUGUAGAAAAUUGUGCCAUAUUGUCUGUAUGCAAUUCAUGGGAGCAAUACCUUUUCAACUUAUAUUUAUGCUAAAAUUUUAUGUGAAAAGUUGUCAAUUUUGUUUAUUUUAGUUUAGAAGUUAGGGACUUUAUAAAGUUAGGGAACCACUUGAUGGUGAUUUGGACUUAAAGCAAAUAAGGAAAGUACAUAUGUUAAAUUUUAUGCAUCACUUAGCAGAUACAUAAAAUUUCUAUCAUUUAUAAUUACAGUAACAAAAUAUUGAGGGCUUUUUGACCCAAAAAAAGGAUCAUUAAUUAAGUUUAUGCAUCGUAUAGAUAAAUAUUGUAGUUCCAAAUUAAGGCAAUCUUUGACACGUCAAGUUAGACGCGAAUGUGUAUGGUACUAGGUGGUGUUUUACCAGUAGGGUUAGAUAAAAUCCUUAUUUUACAUUAGCUCAGAAUGGGGAAGGGGUAUCUCACAAAUACAAUCCCAUUGUAGCCUUAAUGUGUUACUCAUUGACUUGUUGGGAAUUUAUUGUCUUUCCAAGUUAGUAUAGGAAGCAAAUUACUCAUUUUUGCCAAUUAAAUAGGAAAAUUUUCAUAGAUGUAUAAUCCAAUUUCUAGAUUAUGAUCCACAAGUCUGCUUCAGGCCCUCUGUCUAUUUCUUCAGCAUAUGGAAGUGACUCUUUAUCUGC
rnacentral:misc_RNA from 1 species